rnacentral:tRNA from 1 species
AGAAAGAUAAGCUAAUUUAAGCUACUGGGUUCAUACCCCAUUUAUAGAGGUAAUAUAAUCCUCUUCUUUUUA